rnacentral:lncRNA from 1 species
GGGGGCUGGGCGGAGCCAGGUUUGGUUAGGUGGGGGGGCGGGGACUGCCAGUCCCUCCCACCCCCACCUGCCCCUUCCACUCCAGUCACCCCAGUCUCCGACUCCAGGAAACAAAACUAUCUCAUCGUUUUUAUUUUGUGGUCUGUACAGAGCCUGUGUCCGUGUGUCUGUGUGUGAGCGAGAGAGUUGGACGGCUAGGGAGUUUCACUGGAGUGGGGAGGGAGACCCCAGGCCAGGCUCUGCACCAGCUUGGACAUCAGGCAGUGGACCCGGGGCCUGGGCUGGGGGAGAGAAGUGUUGCUGGAAUGGAGACUACUUACUUUGUCUGUGAACCCCCCCAUUCCUCUGCCCCCGCCUUCUCUAGCCCUGCUGCCCUUCCCCCAACCUGUCCUCCAAGGCUAGGGGCUUAAUAUUUAUUUAUUUAUGUAAUUGCAGGGUGCCAGUGGCUUCUCCUGAACAGAGGUCCUUUGGAUCAUAGCCGGGUAGGGGAGGGAGGCAGGCAUCUUUGGGGUUAUGGUCUUUUGAUCAGCUUAGCUACCCUGGCUCCGGGUAUUAGCCCACCAUGGCCGGCCACCAUCCCUUCUCAAGGCCAAGGCCCUAGGGCAGAGUGAGCACUGUCCUUGUAAAGAUCUGACUGGCUCCACCCUCUCGGUGUGGCUGUCCUCUACAGACUCACUUGAAUGCCCAGGUGGAGCCCUGGUAAGUAGUGGGCCAGGGUGGGGGCCCUGGAGUGACCUGCCUUCCCUCCAGGCCCAUUGAGGUAGCUCUUUUGGUUGUCAGACCCCUGUGUUGGCAGCCCCUCCCCUCCCCUCCCCGAUCCCUUCCCUGUCUCUUCUUGUGGUAGCGGGUUAGUGUUUCCGUGUUUUUAACUUCAAUCUGCUUGUUCAUUGUACAAUGUGCUUCUUUUAAGGCCCCGUUUUUGUAACUUGUGUCAUUCAUCUGAACCACAAAAUCAAAAAAAUAAAAAACUAAAAACUGUACAGAGAGAACUGAUGUCUGGUGUCCCUUGGCCUCCCGAGUCCUGAGAAGUUAAAUCAGGGUGGCGGGGGGAGGGGAAGACUGCUCUGUUAAAAUACAGGAUCAAGAAGAACGCUGCAUGGCUCUGUGUGCCCAGGGUUUGAAAGGCUGAAGAAAGAGGACUGACUGCCUUGAGCACCAAGCUCAUAAGCUACUUGGUAAGUACAAGGCCAACAUAGGCCUAAGAAUGUCUUCAGUGAAGCCGGGCACUGGUGGCG